rnacentral:rRNA from 1 species
UACGAAGGGGGCUAGCGUUGUUCGGAAUACUGGGCGUAAAGCGUGCGCAGGCGGCUUCUCAAGUCAGGGGUGAAAGCCCAGAGCUCAACUCUGGAAUUGCCUUUGAGACUGAGUGGCUUGAGUACGAGAGAGGUGAGUGGAAUUCCCCAGUGUAGAGGUGAAAUUCGUAGAUAUUGGGAAGAACACCGGUGGCGAAGGCGGCUCACUGGCUCGUAACUGACGCUCAUGCACGACAGCGUGGGGAUCAAACAGG